rnacentral:rRNA from 1 species
GACAGAGGUGCCAAGCGUUAGGCGGAAUCACUGGGCUUAAAGCGUGUGUAGGCGGAUCGUUAAGUACCUUGUGAAAUCCCACGGCUCAACCGUGGAACUGCUGGGUAUACUGGCGAUCUUGAGCCACCUAGGGGCGAGCGGAACAAGCGGUGGAGCGGUGAAAUGCGUAGAUAUCGCUUGGAACGCCAAUGGUGAAAACAGCUCGCUGGGGGUGUGGCUGACGCUGAGACACGAAAGCCAGGGGAGCGAACGGG